ensembl:lncRNA
CGUGUGUCUGACUGAUGGACCUUAAUGAUGACACUUUAACACCGUGUGUCUGACUGAUGGACCUUAAUGAUGACACUUUAACACCGUGUGUCUGACUGCACAAAGAGCUUUCAAAAUGCUGUAAAACAGUGACUCUAGUAAGUGCCAAAUAAAGUAACAGGGUUGACUAACAGGGUUGACUAACAGGGUUGACUAACAGGGUUGACUAACAGGGUUGACUGUCACAGGGUUGACUGUCACAGGGUUGACUAACAGGGUUGACUAACAGGGUUGACUGUCACAGGGUUGACUGUCACAGGGUUGACUGUCACAGGGUUGACUGUCACAGGGUUGACUGUCACAGGGUUGACUGUCACAGGGUUGACUGUCACAGGGUUGACUGUCACAGGGUUGACGAGUUCAUGUUAAAUCAGCCAUAAAUCUCUUUGUGACGAGGGGGAAUGGAAGAUUGUUGUGUGCAACAGGGAGGGCUUCUUUUUUAAAAUAUAUCUAUAUUUCUGGGUAACAUGUAACGUAUGCUGCUCAACCCGCCUCAGGUUUCCACCACAAAACAUCAGAAUAUGUACAAAAAGAGCGGAACCAGCUCACCUGCUUUUACACUGAAAAAUAAUAUUUAAGAAGGAAUAGUUUCACCAUAUUUAAACGAGGGUUCAGUUCAUGUAACAAGGUUGACCUCUAAAAUCAGGGGCAGGUUUUUUUUUUUUUUUUUACCUUUUUAAAAUAAUUCACUAAUCACAUUUAAAUGAAUUAAUCUCUAGAAAUGGCAAAAUAACUAGGUCUUUACAAUGUUGGUGAAAACCUUUUUGGGGUUGAAGUGUCUGUCAACAGUUGCUACAUCCAGUUUGGAUUCUUGAAGAAUGUAACUGAUAAAUACCUCAUGAGCUCAACUGUCACACCACAUCAGUCCUUGCAUCCAUAGCCCUGUCUGGUUCUUCAGCCCAGUCCCUCAGCUUUUUACCAAAACAGGGGCGGGGAGUUAAUUUAUAGUUUUUUUUACUGCUGAUUGCGGCUUUAAGUGGGUUAAAAUCUAGCCAAAAUCCUGACUUUAUGUCACUGUAGCAAGUCUGUUCGCAUUAAAAGUCAGAUUCUGUGGUCUAUAUUAAAGGGCCUGUUAAAAUAGAGUUUUGGUGCACCGUUGUAACUGAAACAUCGAAGGGAUGCAGAAGAAACGUCUGUGGAACAAGUCUGUUCAGCGUUGCUUCAGGGCCUCCUUGUGAGCCGGACGUCUUUAUUAACAACGAUACCGGCAAGCUGAACUGGCUGCUUAUAGCAUAUUUUCACAAAGACAACUAUCAUUCCCCCCCUCCCCCCCCCAAACUAUAACAAAGAUAAAGCUGGAACCGUAACCAAGGCGAUUGGCUCGUGGGUCAUUCAUGUUCUGCAACGGUGUUUACUGCCAGAUCAGAGAAAUACUGUUUUUUAUUUAUCCACAAUCAUUACUGUUCUUGUCAGAUGGUAAAAAAAAAAAACAUGUCAAAGGUCAAAUCCAGUUUGUUCUAUUCCACCUCUGCCUUAAAGGUUUAUAGGAAGACGAGUGUUAAGACGCUACAAGAUUUACUUCAGUUUAUGUCCAGAGAAUUUCCAUUAUUGAAAUGUUGAUGUGACUAACAUUUGAUCUCCUCGCAGUGAUCUGCAUCUAGGACAAUCUAGCUGUAUGUUUUUAUAAGGUGUUUAUUUAUCAACUAAUGUAUUCAUCAACUGUCUGCACAAUUUCUUAUUGGGUGACAAUUAUAGUACAUUUUUGUUUUUUGUGUAUUUUACUGUUGAAAGAAAUGGAUGUUGAAUAAGUUACAUAUAUACACACUGUGCCCAGGUCAGGAAUGACUCGCGUCAAUUAAUAUAUCUAUAUGCUGUACGUAGAGGGGUGUUGUGCCGGGAAGACAGGCUGUACGUAGAGGGGUGUUGUGCCGGGAAGACAGGCUGUACGUAGAGGGGCGUUGUGCCGGGAAGACAGGCUGUACGUAGAGGGGUGUUGUGCCGGGAAGACAGGCUGUACGUAGAGGGGCGUUGUGCCGGGAAGACAGGCUGUACGUAGAGGGGCGUUGUGCCGGGAAGACAGGCUGUACGUAGAGGGGCGUUGUGCCGGGAAGAAGACAGGCUGUACGUAGAGGGGCGUUGUGCCGGGAAGACAGGCUGUACGUAGAGGGGCGUUGUGCCGGGAAGACAGGCUGUACGUAGAGGGGCGUUGUGCCGGGAAGACAGGCUGUACGUAGAGGGGCGUUGUGCCGGGAAGACAGGCUGUACGUAGAGGAGCAGGAAAACAGGUCAGGUCUUAAUAAUAAUAUUUGUAACAUGCAAAUACACAUCUGAGCCUCAUUCAGUCUGCAGUUAAAAACAUUGUGGAGCGUUGCAGACAAAUGUCAUGAAUAAAGCUUUGUGAUUCCUCAUCCUGCAGGUCAGAGAGGCAUGUUAGUUCUACAAAAACAUAUCUGAACAUUCCACAACAGUGUGCUCUGCUGAACACAGCCCUGUUUACAAUUCAUCUGCCACAUUGAUAAUGAUCCAUUCCCCCUGGGGGGGGGGGGCGCGUUCAGCAAGACACAAUGUUUGGGAACGUUCAGAUAGAAAUAUGCUCUGUAGAACAAACAUGCCUCUCUGUCCUGUAGAAUAAGGAAUCAUGUUGGCUCUAUUUCUGGUGUUUCUAUCUGCAACGUUUUGGCUGCUGAACGUGGCCCUGGGGUUCUAUUGUCGUAACCAGGAAGUGGGCAGGAAACAGUGAGGGCAGGGCCUCUGCUUCAAAGAGGGCGGAAGUCAGUCUCCAAAGACCUCUCUGUUAGACUGUCUAAUGUGUACAAUAAAAGAGUUGGUGCUGUUUUAUUGAAAACAGUGAAUCUGAUCAACCGUUUUAUGUUCAGUUUGCAGCAAUACAAAUCUUAACCCCGAUUUCAUUGCAACCUCGUAGAGACACGCCUCCAUAAUUCUGCUAGAACCAAUGAAAUGACUCCCCUGUUUGCCUGGGUCAGUGUACAGGGCCGUAUUCCUCUAGUCCCCCUGAAGACAGAGAUCCUGUUGAAUUCUUCCUUCAGUCAUUUCUUGGUGAUUUAUAUCUGGUCUGUCCUGUGGUUGUUUUCUCUCCAUCACAUCUCUGUCAACAGACCCUGUCAAAUCAGAACAAUUAUUAUUGAAGGAAGGAAGGAUGUUGAGGCAUUUGUAGAAAAUAUAACCAGGCUGAAGACCUGGUACAGCCUAAUGGUGCUGAGUGUUCUCUGAACUGUACUGGUCCAAUAACAACUUUUGGAACGUAAACCUAAAUUGUUCAAAGCUAUUUCCAAUGGUGUACCCAAAUGAACACUCCUCAGAAGUGUAAGCUAAGAAGCUCACAAAUUAGUUUUUCCUAGGAGAUUUUGGGGCGUGAUACUAGUUAUCCCAGCCAUAGGGUCGUUACCCCUGUCCAUUUCUUCAAUUCCUCUUCUUAAAAUGUUAUUUUAAACCUUCACCACACUGCUAACCUUAUGCCUAACCGUAACCACACUGCUAACCUUAUGCCUAACCGUAACCACACUGCUAACCUUAUGCCUAACCUUAACCACACUGCUAACCUUACGCCUAACCUUAACCACACUGCUAACCUUAUGCCUAACCGUAACCACACUGCUAACCUUAUGCCUAACCUUAACCACACUGCUAACCUUAUGCCUAACCUUAACCACACUGCUAACCUUAUGCCUAACCUUAACCACACCUAACCUUAUGCCUAACCUUAACCACACUGCUAACCUUAUGCCUAACCUUAACCACACUGCUAACCUUAUGCCUAACCUUAACCACACUGCUAACCUUACGCCUAACCUUAACCACACUGCUAACCUUAUGCCUAACCGUAACCACACUGCUAACCUUACGCCUAACCUUAACCACACUGCUAACCUUAUGCCUAACCUUAACCACACUGCUAACCUUAUGCCUAACCUUAACCACACUGCUAACCUUAUGCCUAACCUUAACCACACUGCUAACCUUAUGCCUAACCUUAACCACACUGCUAACCUUACGCCUAAACCUUAUGCCUAACCUUAACCACACUGCUAACCUUACGCCUAACCUUAACCACACUGCUAACCUUACGCCUAACCGUAACCACACUGCUAACCUUACGCCUAACCGUAACCACACUGCUAACCUUACGCCUAACCGUAAC